UCACCUCAGGUCAGGAGUUUGAGACCAGCCUGGCCUACCUGGGAAGAAAGGCUUAGCUAUGGAGACAGGCUCAGCCGGAAUGCCAUCCAGCUCCCACCUCCUCACAGUAUUUCACCCUUCUGCCCUGCCUCCGUGAAAUGGGCACACACCAGCCAGUUCAAUCACACAGCACACCUGAAGCUGAGAAAAGCCAUGAAAACAGCUCCAGGCCCCCCGGCUGGCCAUACCCAGAGGGAAGCUGCACUGCCUCUCCGUGCCACACCUUCCUCAUCUGAGAAAUGGACCCUGCCACGACCUCCUCUUGGGCUAUGGUGGCCGAGCCUGGAACGUCCUCCUCCUGACCUCGGGCUUGGCCUCGGAGCUCUCGGCAGUCCAGCCUCUGAUCCGCUCCUGGACGCUGAC